rnacentral:rRNA from 1 species
CUGCUCAAUGAUUUUUUAAAUUGCUGUGGUAUUUUGACUAUACGAAGGUAUUGAAAUAAGGCUUUAAAUGAGUGCUAAGAGAAUGGUUUAACAAUUAUAAGCUUUCUUUUUUUUAAAACUUGAAUUUAAUUUUUUUGUGAAGAAGCAAAAAUAAAAAUUAGGGACAAGAAGACCCUAUGAAUUUUAAUUUUAUUAUUUUUUUUAUUUAAAAAUAAUAAAAUUUAAUUGGGGCGAUUUAAAAAGAAUUAGUAUCUUUUUGAGGAAAAAAUUUGUUCCGAUAUUAUCGAUUAAAUGAAAUAAAUACUCUAGGGAUAACAGCGUAAUAAUUUUGGAUAGUUCUUAUAGAUAAAAUAGUUUGCGACCUCGAUGUUGGAUUAGGAUUCUUUUUUGGUGAAGAAAUUAAUAAAAAGAAGUUUGUUCAACUUUUAAAAUCCUACUUGAUCUGAGUUCAGACCGG